rnacentral:rRNA from 1 species
UACGGGGGGAGCAAGCGUUGUUCGGAUUUACUGGGCGUAAAGGGCGCGUAGGCGGCUCGGUAAGUCACUUGUGAAAUCUCUGAGCUAAACUCAGAACGGCCAAGUGAUACUGCAGUGCUAGAGUGUGGAAGGGGCAAUCGGAAUUCUUGGUGUAGCGGUGAAAUGCGUAGAUAUCAAGAGGAACACCUGAGGUGAAGACGGGUUGCUGGGCCAACACUGACGCUGAUGCGCGAAAGCCAGGGGAGCAAACGGG